AUCCGCCUCAGCUUAUUACUAAAUGCAGUCGCGGGAAUAGGAUACCGGUGUUUACUUUAGUGAGAUAUUUUUUUUGGAUGGGGUAUGUAAACAGAAGACCCAUGACCUUAUCUUAAUACUAUAGCGCCCACUCUCUUUCCUUAUUUCCACUUGGUUUUAAGUUUAGUGUCUUUUUGUAUUGAGCCAACCAAUCCUCACUAGCCUUUGCCUUUGCCUUUGCUUUGCUUUAGCAGUGAAUAGAAGUUAGGGAGAGUUCAGUACUGUGACAAUAUUAGUUGAGUCUGCUAAAUAUUUUAUUUUCCACAAAUAAAGGAGAAUAUCAUUCCUUUAAUUCCUUAUCAUUAAGAAGUAAGGGAAAAACAUGAAAGUAGCAGUAGUUGGGGCAGGAAUAAGUGGAUUGGUCUCUGCAUAUGAAUUGGCAAAAGCUGGUGUUAAAGUUGUGGUUUAUGAAAAGGAAGAUUAUCUCGGCGGCCAUGCCAAGACUGUUACUGUCAAUGGCGUUGAUCUUGACCUUGGCUUUAUGGUCUUCAAUCGGGUAACUUAUCCGAACAUGAUGGAAUUUUUUGAGAAUCUUGGAGUCGAUAUGGAGAUCUCCGAUAUGUCAUUUUCAGUGAGCUUGGACAAAGGUUAUGGUUGUGAAUGGGGUAGCCGAAAUGGACUCUCUGGUUUGUUUGCACAGAAAAAGAAUGUCUUGAAUCCAUACUUUUGGCAAAUGAUUAGAGAAAUCAUCAAGUUCAAGCAGGAUGUCAUAAGUUACCUUGAGGAACUUGAUAACAAUCCUGACAUUGAUCGCAAUGAAACGUUAGGACAUUUUAUUAAGUCACAUGGCUAUUCAGAGUUAUUUCAGAAAGCUUAUCUGAUUCCAAUAUGUGCAUCAAUUUGGUCCUGCCCCUCGGAAGGAGUUAUGGGCUUUUCUGCUUAUUCCAUUCUUUCAUUCUGUCGCAACCACCAUCUUUUACAGCUCUUUGGUCGCCCUCAAUGGCUCACAGUUAGAUGGCGAUCACGUACAUAUGUAAACAAGGUUAAGGAGGAGCUGGAGAAGAGAGGCUGCCAAUUAAGGACUGGUUGUGAAGUAAAUUCCAUAUCAACGAAUGAAGAAGGUUGUACUGUAGCUUGCACUGAUGGUUCCAAAGACGUAUACGAUGGAUGCAUAAUGGCUUCACAUGCACCAGAUACUCUAAGGAUGUUAGGCAAAGAGGCAACAUACGAUGAAACAAGAAUACUUGGUGCUUUCCAAUAUGUUUAUAGUGAUAUUUACCUUCAUUGUGACAAAACUUUCCUGCCUCGCAACCCAGCAGCAUGGAGUGCAUGGAAUUUUCUUGGAACCAUGAACAAUAAAGUAUGCGUAACAUAUUGGCUCAAUAUACUCCAGAACCUUGGUGAGACAGAGAGGCCUUAUUGUGUAACUCUUAAUCCUCCUCACACACCAGAGCAUAUGCUGCUUAAGUGGACCACAGGCCACCCCGUACCCUCGGUUGCUGCAUCAAUAGCUUCAUCCAAGCUAGAUCAAAUCCAAGGAAAGAGAGGAAUAUGGUUUUGUGGAGCAUAUCAAGGCUAUGGCUUCCAUGAGGAUGGACUAAAGGCCGGUGCGAUUGCUGCACAGGGUCUACUUAAGAGAAACUAUAGUGUCCUGAACAACCCAAAACACAUGGUACCUACCUGGCCAGAAACAGGAGCACGCCUCCUCGUUACUAGGUUCCUCAAGAGUUUCAUCACCACAGGAUGCAUAAUCUUAUUAGAAGAAGGAGGCACGAUGUUCACCUUCGAAGGAGCAGAGAAUAAAAGCUCUCUCAAAGUUUCUCUUAGAGUUCAUAGUCCACAGUUUUACUGGAAGGUUGCAACUCAAGGUGACUUGGGCCUUGCUGAUGCUUUUAUUCAAGGGGAUUUCUCUUUUGUCGAUAAGAAUGAAGGUCUUCUUAAUCUUUUCAUGAUUUUUGUUAACAACAGAGAUUUGAAAGCAUCAGUCACAAGGUCUAGUAAGAAAAGAGGCUGGUGGACACCACUGCUGUUUACAGCUGCAGUAUCAUCUGCAAAAUAUUUCAUUCGGCACGUUUCAAAUCAAAACACCCUGACUCAGGCUCGUCGGAACAUCUCUCGUCACUAUGACCUGAGUAAUGAACUCUUCUCGCUAUUUCUAGAUGAGACAAUGACAUAUUCAUGUGCAAUUUUUAAGAGUGAAGAGGAAGACCUGAAAGUUGCACAGGAGAGGAAAAUUUCUCUUCUCAUUGAAAAGGCAAAAGUUAGCAAGGAACAUCACAUUUUAGAGAUAGGAUGUGGUUGGGGAAGUUUGGCUGUGGAAGUUGUUAAGCGAACAGGAUGUAAAUAUACCGGUAUCACUCUCUCUGAACAGCAACUGAAAUAUGCACAGAUAAGAGUUCAGCAAGCAGGCCUUCAGGAUCGCAUAACAUUUCUCCUACUUGACUAUCGCCAAUUGCCAAAUAUGUCGAGAUAUGACAGGAUUAUAUCAUGUGAGAUGUUAGAAGCCGUUGGUCAUGAGUUUAUGGAGGAAUUCUUUACUUGCUGUGAAUCUGCAUUAGCAGAAGAUGGCCUUCUUGUUUUGCAGUUCAUUUCAAUACCAGACGAGAGGUAUGACGAAUACAGGCAGAGCUCAGACUUCAUAAAAGAAUAUAUAUUCCCAGGUGGAUGCUUGCCUGCACUAAGUCGAGUAACAUCAGCUAUGGCUGCUGCAUCCAGACUAUGUGUAGAGCACCUAGAAGAUAUAGGAAUUCAUUACUAUCAGACGCUGAGAUGCUGGCGGAAGAACUUCCUGCAAAAACAAAGCCAAAUUCAUGCUUUGGGAUUCGACGACAAGUUCAUCAGGACAUGGGAGUAUUACUUUGAUUACUGUGCUGCUGGAUUCAAAACGUGCACACUAGGAGAUUAUCAGAUUGUAUUCUCAAGGCCAGGCAAUGUUGCAGCAUUUGGUAAUCCUUAUCAUGGUGUACCUUCAACCUAUUAGCAUUUCUUCGUUUUCAAGAUUGAUCAUACGCUCGUCUUUAUAAAGAACCUUCAAUUUACUACAUUAUCAACAACUGUAGUAUUCUACGCAAGGCAAAGAAGAAAGAAGAAGAUGCAUUCUGUGAAGGAGAAAGUAAGCAACGCAGUGGAGAAAGCAGCAGCAAGGACAAAGGAAGAGAAAUUCUCGGGUUCUCCAGGUGCACUUGAGGGCACGCCACUAGGCACCAUAUCGUUCUCUAUUUCAGAGUUCAAGUUCAUAGAGAAAAUUGGAUGAAAACAAUCUUCACAAAUUUCAAAAUCUGGUUAAAGCUUUUAUGCCUUUUCGUAGUUCUUUUCCAACUUUUUACAUCUUGCUUUUUGGAUGGAAAAAGGUAUUGCUUUUAACACAAGA